ensembl:snRNA
GUGUUUGAUAAAAGGGGAGGGCUAGUACUUUCCUUGACAAGGAUGGAAGAGGCCCCAGGCCUGACAGCUCUUAAAUGGUUAAUGUGUUGCUACCUAUUUUGUGGCAUCCAACUGUUGCUUUUA